rnacentral:rRNA from 1 species
UCUACGGGUGGCAGCAGUGAGGAAUAUUGGUCAAUGGCCGAGAGGCUGAACCAGCCAAGUCGCGUGAGGGAAGACGGCCCUACGGGUUGUAAACCUCUUUUGUCGGGGAGCAAAGCGAGUCACGUGUGACUCAUUGAGAGUACCCGAAGAAAAAGCAUCGGCUAACUCCGUGCCAGCAGCCGCGGUAAUACGGAGGAUGCGAGCGUUAUCCGGAUUUAGUGGGGUUAAAGGGUGCGCAGGCGGAGGUGCAAGUCAGCGGUCAAAUUGCGGGGCGCAACCCCGUACUGCCGUUGAAACUGCAUCCCUUGAGUGCAGUAGAGGUGGGCGGAAUUCGUGGUGUAGCGGUGAAAUGCUUAGAUAUCACGAAGAACUCCGAUUGCGAAGGCAGCUCACUGGACUGCAACUGACACUGAGGCUCGAAAGUGUGGGUAUCAAACAGGAUUAGAUACCCUUGUAGUC